rnacentral:rRNA from 1 species
AUGCGCGGCGAGACCAACAUGCUGCUGAUGAGCCCCGGGGACACAGGCGCGCCCCAUUCCAACGGCGUCCACCACGUCGACAUCGAGACCGGCAAGGUCGUCACCGAGUGGCGGUUCGAGAAGGACGGCACCGACAUCACGAUGCGGGACAUUGCCAACGACAGCAAGAGCGCGCAGCUGGAGCCCUCCGGAUCGACCUUCCUGGGGCUGGACGACAACCGGCUGUGCAGGUGGGACAUGCGCGACGCGAGGGGCAGGGUGCAGACGAUCGGCAACUCCUCCUCCGACUCGCCGGUGCUGCACUGGUCGCAGGGCCACCAGUUCUCGCGGGGCACCAACUUCCAGUGCUUCGCGAGCACCGGGGAUGGCUCGAUUGUUGUUGGCUCCGUCGAUGGCAAGAUCAGGCUCUACUCCAAGAGCUCGAUGCGGAUGGCCAAGACGGUGUUCCCAGGGCUUGGGUCGCCGAUCACGCAUGUGGAUGUUACUUACGAUGGGAAGUGGAUCCUGGGCACCACGGACACAUACCUGGUUUUGAUCUGCACCAUCUUCAAGGACAAGGAUGGCAAGGAGAAGACUGGGUUCAGUGGGCGUAUGGGAAGCAGGAUCGCGGCGCCCAGGUUGCUGAAGCUCAGUCCGCUUGAUUCAAUCCUCGCUGGGAACGACAACAAAUUCCAUGGUGGACAAUUUUCAUGGGUAACGGAGGACGGGAAGCAAGAGAAGCAUCUCGUCGCGACGGUCGGCAAGUUCAGCCUCAUAUGGAACUUCCAAAAGGUCAAGGACAGCAACCAUCACUGCUACCGCGACCAGGAGGGCCUCAAGAGUUGCUACUGCUACAAGGUCGUCCUCAAGGAGGAGUCCAUCGUCGACAGCAGGUUCAUGCACGAGAACUUCGCCGGCUCCGACUCCCCUGAAGCUCCCCUGGUGGUCGCCACCCCGAUGAAAGUCAGCUCCUUCAGCAUCGCAAACAGGCGUUGA